AUUUUCAAUAAGUUUCGAUUCUCAUAGAUUUUUCUGCAUUAUAUUUAAUCAUAUAAAUCUUCUAGAAGCAUGACCCACACUCUUUGGGUCCCAUAUAUCAUACAUCCCAUCACAUAAUUUCAUCCACUAAUAUGUUUCCACUCACUUGACAUCUUUCCACCGUCCAACCACCACCAACACAAUAUUAUUCUGCGUGAGAUCAAACCAAGGAAGCAAG
rnacentral:lncRNA from 1 species